rnacentral:misc_RNA from 1 species
UGAAAGCUCUUGACAAACUUGCCCAAUUAAAACCAAGGUUAGAAGGGGCCCAUGAUGGUUUCAAAUUGCCAGUUAAACACUUGUAAGCAGAGAUGGGGGCGGAGGCGACGUCACGACGUCGCAACGAGCGGAUGAGAGCUGCGGUGGACAUCGGGUGGAUAUCAGAAGUGCAAGACUAGGAGGGAGAAGAGAUAACUGAGUUGGAUUUUAAUGGGUUUUCAGGGUUUAGGGUUUUGCUGGGUCCGCUU